GGGAUGCGUUGAUGGAGAGUUCCUGCAUGGCAGGGGGUUGGACUGGAUGGCCCUUGGGGUCUCUUCCAACUCUACGAUUUUAUGUAUAAAUCGCAAAAUGUUUUUUACCUCUCCACUUGCUCUUUCCUUACCUGCCUUCUUCUCACCUGGACCUUCCCAAGACAUUUGACUGAGGUGGAGUCAGAAGUAACACCGCUCCCUAAAAGUCGAAAGACAUCAUAACCCAGAGAGGAAGUCGGUCAACCAUUUCCAGUCUUCUUUGUGUUCUUCCCAGGAAUAUUCUCUCUCAGCAAAUAGGUCACAACUUAAGGUCUUCACCGUUUCUAUAGGUGAUGUGAGUACAUCCUCCCACUGUGCAUUUCAGUCUCUGGAAAGUUCUUUUUAUUUGGAUAAAUCUUGGGACUUUUUGUGCCAUAUCCAAAAUGCCUCAAAAUAGAGUGGUAUCACACUUCCAAUGGGAUGAAAGUUGAUCAGGUAAAAAUGAAACCUGAAGUGAGCGUCCAAAAAAUAUGAGAGUGUUCUUUCUAAGGUUGGACACAUAGCAUUCUCAGAAUUAGGAUCUAUGCUCAUAAGCCCUUGUCAUUCAUCUCUGAUGUUGGGAAAUGAGUACUCCUGACGUCCUUCUUCAUGGGAAAGGAGGGGAGGAGAAGCAGGAUACCAUAACAUCUAGAGCAUCUCAGGCUUCCCAAAGGUUCCCAUACCUUGGCUUCCCCAGUCCAGUGUACUGUCUGCCUAAUGUUAGAAUCAUAGAAUCAUAGAGUUGGAAGAGACCACAAGUGCCACCCAAUCCAACU